UAUUGCACAAUGGGGGAAACCCUGAUGCAGCCAUGCCGCGUGUGUGAAGAAGGCCUUCGGGUUGUAAAGCACUUUCAGCGAGGAGGAAAGGGUGUAAGUUAAUACCUUACAUCUGUGACGUUACUCGCAGAAGAAGCACCGGCUAACUCCGUGCCAGCAGCCGCGGUAAUACGGAGGGUGCGAGCGUUAAUCGGAAUUACUGGGCGUAAAGCGUGCGCAGGCGGUUUGUUAAGCGAGAUGUGAAAGCCCCGGGCUCAACCUGGGAACCGCAUUUCGAACUGGCAAACUAGAGUCUUGUAGAGGGGGGUAGAAUUCCAGGUGUAGCGGUGAAAUGCGUAGAGAUCUGGAGGAAUACCGGUGGCGAAGGCGGCCCCCUGGACAAAGACUGACG
rnacentral:rRNA from 1 species